AUUGAACGCUGGCGGCAGGCCUAACACAUGCAAGUCGGACGGUAGCACAGGGGAGCUUGCUCCUCGGGUGACGAGUGGCGGACGGGUGAGUAAUGUCUGGGGAUCUGCCCGAUAGAGGGGGAUAACCACUGGAAACGGUGGCUAAUACCGCAUAACGUCGCAAGACCAAAGAGGGGGACCUUCGGGCCUCUCACCAUCGGAUGAACCCAGAUGGGAUUAGCUAGUAGGCGGGGUAACGGCCCACCUAGGCGACGAUCCCUAGCUGGUCUGAGAGGAUGACCAGCCACACUGGAACUGAGACACGGUCCAGACUCCUACGGGAGGCAGCAGUGGGGAAUAUUGCACAAUGGGCGCAAGCCUGAUGCAGCCAUGCCGCGUGUAUGAAGAAGGCCUUCGGGUUGUAAAGUACUUUCAGCGGGGAGGAAGGCGAUGUGGUUAAUAACCGCGUCGAUUGACGUUACCCGCAGAAGAAGCACCGGCUAACUCCGUGCCAGCAGCCGCCGUAA
rnacentral:rRNA from 1 species